CAGAGGGUGCGAGCGUUGUCCGGAAUCACUGGGCGGUAAAGGGACGGCGUAGGUGGCUCUGUAAGUCGGGGGUGGAAAUAGCUGCGGCUCAACCGCAGCGCUGCCUCCGAGACUGCAAGGCUUGAGCACGGUAGAGGCCGAUGGAAUUCCCGGUGUAGCGGUGGAAUGCGUAGAGAUCGGGAAGAACACCAAUGGCGAAGGCAGUCGGCUGGGCCGUUGCUGACACUGAGGCGCGACAGCGUGGGGAGCAAACAGGAUUAGAUACCCUGGUAGUCCACGCCGUAAACGAUGGGCACUAGGCGUCGGGGGGAGCGACCCUCCCGGUGCCGUCGCUAACGCAGUAAGUGCCCCGCCUGGGGAGUACGGCCGCAAGGUUG
rnacentral:rRNA from 1 species